UGCUUAGGGUCAUUGACUUGCUGCAUGACCCACUUUCUCUUGAGAUUCAGUUCAUGGACAAAUGUCCUGACAUUAUCAUUUAGAAUUUAGAAUUCGCUGAUAUAAUUCAGAAUUCAUUGUUCCAUUAAUGAUGUUAAGAUUCCUGGCCCAGAUGUAGGAAAACAGGCCCAAACCAUGAUACUACCACCACCAUGUUUCAUAGAUGGGAUAAGAACUGCCGAACAAGAGACCAUCCCUGAGGAAUUGCGAGCAACACAGGAGUAUGGCCCCUCGUUCUCAGCAUAGACUCUGACAAUCUCCAGCUGGCAGCUGUCAUCAUAGUGGGACAUUCUGAGACAAAUGCCUUACCCUCUCCAGAGACAUGGCACUGGAAUCUUGCAGACUCUCCCUCUUCAACAGAUACAUCAUGUAUAGGAGAUAUUAUCACAGGUGGAGACGGUGGAACUCCAACAUCUGGAGAAACCACUUCAGA